AUUGAACGCUGGCGGCAGGCCUAACACAUGCAAGUCGAGCGGACCGGCGGACGGGUGCGUAAUGCCUAGGAAUCUGCAUGGUCGUGGGGGAUAACGUCCGGAAACGGGCGCUGAUACCGCAUACUAUCAGAUGAGCCUCGGUCGGAUUAGCUAGUUGGUGGGGUAAAGGCCUACCAAGGCGACGAUCCGUAACUGGUCUGAGUGGAUGAGCAGCCACACUGGGACUGAGACACGGUCCAGACUCCUACGGGAGGCAGCAGUGGGGAAUAUUGGACAAUGGGCGAAAGCCUGAUCCAGCCAUGCCGCGUGUAUGAUGAAGGUCUUCGGAUUGUAAAGUACUUUAAGUUGGGAAGCGUUAUCAGCAGAAUAAGCACCGGCUAACUACGUGCCAGCAGCCGCGGUAAUUC
rnacentral:rRNA from 1 species